rnacentral:rRNA from 1 species
UACGAAGGGGGCUAGCGUUGCUCGGAAUCACUGGGCGUAAAGCGCACGUAGGCGGCUUCUUAAGUCAGAGGUGAAAUCCUGGAGCUCAACUCCAGAACUGCCUUCGAUACUGGAAAGCUCGAGUCCGGGAGAGGUGAGUGGAACUGCGAGUGUAGAGGUGAAAUGCGUAGAUAUUCGCAAGAACACCAAUAGCGAAGGCGGCUCACUGGCCCGGUACUGACGCUGAGGUGCGAAAGCGUGGGGAGCAAACAGG